ACUUUUCUGCUCCUUCAGCUAUUAGCCAAGCACUACAUUCUAGUUAUUGUGCGUCUGAGCGCUAGGAGAACAUGUCUUUGAAAUGAGUAUCAUCCAAGAGUUUACCUGCUCGGGUGAAGGCCAACAAUCAUGUUUUUAGAGUGUUCGUGAGCGGCAUGACUGCUCGCUUCGCCCUCUCCUUCGUGGUGACAUGACAGUGAGCGACACGUUCAUCUAACUACACUCAAUCAAGCGGGAUGGCUACACCGAUUGGUACCAUGUCGGAUGUUGGGUUAGGAGAAGUUCCUCCUUGUUGAUGUUGAAUGGAGCACAUGCAACGAUUCGUGGUAUUUGUAUGGUCGAUCUAAAUCUUACUUUGGCAAAGACCAUGCAAAUAAAAAACAUGUACCAUAUCCCCUCAAUAAGGAAAAACUUAGUUAGUUAUUUGUUCAUGUAUCAAGAUGGCUAUAAAGUUAUGUUUAAUCCUAAUAAAUUUAUGUUAAGGAUGAAACUUUUAUUGGUAAAGAAUAUGAGAGCAAAGGCUUGUUCUGCUUGUCUUC